CCUACGGGGUGCACCAGUGGGGAAUAUUGGACAAUGGGCGAAAGCCUGAUCCAGCAAUGCCGCGUGUGUGAAGAAGGUCUUCGGAUUGUAAAGCACUUUCGACGGGGACGAUGAUGACGGUACCCGUAGAAGAAGCCCCGGCUAACUUCGUGCCAGCAGCCACGGUAAUACGAAGGGGGCUAGCGUUGCUCGGAAUGACUGGGCGUAAAGCGCGCGUAGGCGGUUUAUGCAGUCAGAUGUGAAAUCCCCGGGCUUAACCUGGGAACUGCAUUUGAGACGCAUAGACUAGAGGUCGUGAGAGGGUUGUGGAAUUCCCAGUGUAGAUGUGAAACUCGUAGAUAUUGGGAAGAACACCGGUGGCGAAGGCGGCAACCUGGCUCGAUACUGACGCUGAGGCGCGAAACCGUGGGGAGCAAACAGGAUUAGAUACCCCUGUAGUC
rnacentral:rRNA from 1 species